GAUGAACGCUGGCGGCGUGCCUAAUACAUGCAAGUCGAGCGAACAGACGAGGAGCUUGCUCCUCUGACGUUAGCGGCGGACGGGUGAGUAACACGUGGAUAACCUACCUAUAAGACUGGGAUAACUUCGGGAAACCGGAGCUAAUACCGGAUAAUAUAUUGAACCGCAUGGUUCAAUAGUGAAAGACGGUUUUGCUGUCACUUAUAGAUGGAUCCGCGCCGCAUUAGCUAGUUGGUAAGGUAACGGCUUACCAAGGCAACGAUGCGUAGCCGACCUGAGAGGGUCAUCGGCCACACUGGAACUGAGACACGGUCCAGACUCCUACGGGAGGCAGCAGUAGGGAAUCUUCCGCAAUGGGCGAAAGCCUGACGGAGCAACGCCGCGUGAGUGAUGAAGGUCUUCGGAUCGUAAAACUCUGUUAGUAGGGAAGAACAAAUGUGUAAGUAACUAUGCACGUCUUGACGGUACCUAAUCAGAAAGCCACGGCUAACUACGUG
rnacentral:rRNA from 1 species